GUGGGGAAUAUUGGACAAUGGGCGAAAGCCUGAUCCAGCCAUGCCGCGUGUGUGAAGAAGGUCUUCGGAUUGUAAAGCACUUUAAGUUGGGAGGAAGGGUAGUAGCCUAAUACGUUGCUACUUUGACGUUACCGACAGAAUAAGCACCGGCUAACUUCGUGCCAGCAGCCGCGGUAAUACGAAGGGUGCAAGCGUUAAUCGGAAUUACUGGGCGUAAAGCGCGCGUAGGUGGUUCAGUAAGUUGGAAGUGAAAUCCCCGGGCUCAACCUGGGAACUGCUUUCAAAACUGCUGAGCUAGAGUACGGUAGAGGGUGGUGGAAUUUCCUGUGUAGCGGUGAAAUGCGUAGAUAUAGGAAGGAACACCAGUGGCGAAGGCGACCACCUGGACUGAUACUGACACUGAGGUGCGAAAGCGUGGGGAGCAAACAGGAUUAGAAACCCGGGUAGUCC
rnacentral:rRNA from 1 species